GCCGCCUUGGCGUAGUGGUAGCGCGUCGCACUUGUAUUCCGUGAAUGUGAAAUGCGAAGGUCACUCGUUCAACCCGGGUAGGUGGCA